GUUACCUUUAAUGAAGGUCCUGUGAGACCUAAAAGGAAAGUAUAGAGCAAUCUAUUAAAAAUUAUAUGAUAUUAUAUGAUUUGUUUAUUGCUUGUCAUAGUGAUAUCUAUGCCUUCCUUUAAAAAGGAAGGCUUUUUUAUU
rfam:Clostridium tetanomorphum DSM 665 contig194, whole genome shotgun sequence.